rnacentral:rRNA from 1 species
UACAGAGGGUGCAAGCGUUAAUCGGAAUUACUGGGCGUAAAGCGCGCGUAGACGGUUAUAUAAGUCGGGUGUGAAAGCCCCGGGCUCAACCUGGGAAUUGCAUUCGAGACUGUGUAGCUAGGGUGCGGAAGAGGGAAGCGGAAUUUCCGGUGUAGCGGUGAAAUGCGUAGAUAUCGGAAGGAACACCAGUGGCGAAAGCGGCUCCCUGGUCCAGCACCGACGUUCAGGCGCGAAAGCGUGGGGAGCAAACAGG